GCGACUCUGAUACUGCAGAGAUCUAUGUGAUGACUGAUCAUGCGCUUAAGGUCUUUGUCAUUGGAGAUUGUUAUAAGUGUCUUCCUGUUUCCAGGGAGAAAAUAUUUAACUGACAUAGUAGCAAGGCUGCAGUUAAACAUCUCGGCAACCUCCAUCUUAAAAUCAUUGUAGUCCAGCUUUCCAUCCACUUCCAUAGCAUGAGCAUCUCCGCCUUUAUAUGAAAGGAAACCAUCUCUAUCAGUAUCAAAUUCACCACCUGACUGACAUAUGGCGAUAACUCGCUUCCCAGCCAUGACCUGGGAAGAGAUAAA
rnacentral:misc_RNA from 1 species